UACAGAGGGGGCAAGCGUUGUUCGGAAUUACUGGGCGUAAAGGGCGCGUAGGCGGCCUUCUAAGUCGAACGUGAAAUCCCUAGGCUCAACCUAGGAACUGCGUCCGAUACUGGGAGGCUUGAAUCCGGGAGAGGGAUGUGGAAUUCCAGGUGUAGCGGUGAAAUGCGUAGAUAUCUGGAGGAACACCGGCGGCGAAGGCGGCAUCCUGGACCGGCAUUGACGCUGAGGCGCGAAAGCCAGGGGAGCAAACGGG
rnacentral:rRNA from 1 species